rnacentral:rRNA from 1 species
AUUGAACGCUGGCGGCAUGCCUUACACAUGCAAGUCGAACGGCAGCACGGGAGCUUGCUCCUGGUGGCGAGUGGCGAACGGGUGAGUAAUACAUCGGAACGUACCCAGUAGUGGGGGAUAACGCACCGAAAGGUGCGCUAAUACCGCAUACGACCUACGGGUGAAAGCGGGGGACCGUAAGGCCUCGCGCUAUUGGAGCGGCCGAUGUCUGAUUAGCUAGUUGGCGGGGUAAUAGCCCACCAAGGCGACGAUCAGUAGCUGGUCUGAGAGGACGAUCAGCCACACUGGGACUGAGACACGGCCCAGACGCCUACGGGAGGAAGCAGUGGGGAAUUGUGGACAAUGGGGGCAACCCUGAUCCAGCAAUGCCGCGUGUGCGAAGAAGGCCUUCGGGUUGUAAAGCACUUUUGUCAGGGAAGAAAUCUUUCAGGCUAAUACCCUUGGAAGGAUGACGGUACCUGAAGAAUAAGCACCGGCUAACUACGUGCCAGCCGCCGCGGUAA